rnacentral:lncRNA from 1 species
GAGAAAACAGAUUAAAGGAAACUAGAGCCUCGAUACUGCGGAAGGGCCAACAUACCAGCCCUGCAAUUUCAUGCCGAGAACUGAGACAGGGGUUCAGCAUGUUGCCCAGGCUGGUCUUGAACUCCCGGACUCGACUGAUCCAUCUGACUCGGCCUCCUGAAGUGCUGGGAUUACAGGAGUGAGCCACUGCACCUGGCAACACCUUUAAAAAUGUCUUCACCCACCUGUUCACCUUCAAAGUUGUUCUUUCAGGGCUUUCUGAAUUGAGAGUCCAGGAAGAUACAGAGUAAGUAGGAAAACUGAGUUGGCAAGUUGCUGCUGGUGAUUCUGAGAAGGGAUCAGAAAGAGAAAACAAAAAGCAAGAUGUUAAAAAUCUGCUUUACUGGUCCACAAAACACUUUCUGCAAAACUCUGUUCUGGGAAAGCAUCCCUAGCCAGAUGCAGUGGUGUGUGCCUGUGGUCCUAGCUACUUGGAAGGCUGAAGCAAAAGGAUCACUUAAGCUCAGGAGUUGUAAGAGAUGGAGACCAGCCUGAGCAACAUAUGGAGACACCGUCUCUAAAAAGGCAGAGGUUGGGGAUGUAUCCUUUUCUUGUUUAGGAGAUGCAGUAUGUUCUGUAGUACGUGUUACUAUGUUAGUAUCUGGUUCGCCUCUUGCACACACAAGGACAGACUGCAC